UUCACUUCAUUUAUUCCUUUGAAACAAGUCACUUAAUACAGCAUUUAGAUAUUUAAAGUCAUACACCUCAUAAAUAAAAUCAAUGCAUCUUAAUGACAAUGGCAAAAUCACAUAAGAGUUGUAGAAAAUGAAGUUAGACAUCUUCCAGGUAGCAGCAGUGCAUUACUUCAAAAAAUGCUGGCAAGUAGGCAAAACAUUUUUAAAACAAGAAAACACUGUCCAUCUGCAUUAAGAAAAAAUAUUUUCUUAUGCUGUUUUGCCCAUCCCUACUUUUUCAAGUCAUAUUCUAAAGCUCUAAUUUGACGGUCUUUACUUGUGGUUUUCUUUUUGUGUUAGGAACCUCUGUCUCUACUGCAUUAAUACAGAAACUAUAGGAAUAUUGUUGUUCUCUAACCCUUUUCACAAGCUAUUCAUAUUCAUUCUGUAUUUAGGCUGAAUUCAAAUUUUUUUCAAGGAAAAAUACUAUUCUGCUAAGUACAUAUUUCCUGUAAACAGCUGGAGUCCUGAAUGGCACCAAUGUGACUGGAAAACUGACAAAAAUUAGGUCCCUUGGUCCUUUAAGUAACUUACGGGCUAAUUACAUAGCCUAUACCAGUUUAUAAAGU
rnacentral:lncRNA from 1 species